UACGUAGGGGGCAAGCGUUGUCCGGAAUCAUUGGGCGUAAAGAGCUUGUAGGCGGUCUGUCGCGUCUGCUGUGAAAAUCCGGGGCGUCAACCCCGGACUUGCAGUGGGUACGGGCAGACUAGAGUGUGGUAGGGGAGACUGGAAUUCCUGGGUGUAGGCGGUGAAAUGCGCAGAUAAUCAGGAGGAACACCGAUGGCGAAGGCAGGUCUCUGGGCCGACUGACUGACGCUGAGAAGCGAAAGCAUGGG
rnacentral:rRNA from 1 species